rnacentral:rRNA from 1 species
GCGGAUGCUUUACAUGCAAGUCGAACGGCAGCAUAGAGAGCUUGCUCUCUGAUGGCGAGUGGCGAACGGGUGAGUAAUAUAUCGGAACGUGCCUAGUAAUGGGGAACAACUAAUCGAAAGAUUAGCUAAUACCGCAUACGACCUACGGGUGAAAGCAGGGGAUCUUCGGACCUUGCGUUAUUAGAGCGGCCGAUAUCUGAUUAGGUAGUUGGUAGGGUAAAAGCCUACCAAGCCGACGAUCAGUAGCUGGUCUGAGAGGACGAUCAGCCACACUGGAACUGAGACACGGUCCAGACUCCUACGGGAGGCAGCAGUGGGGAAUUUUGGACAAUGGGGGCAACCCUGAUCCAGCCAUUCCGCGUGAGUGAAGAAGGCCUUCGGGUUGUAAAGCUCUUUCGCAAGAGAAGAAAUCUUAUCGUCUAAUAAACGAUAAGGAUGACGGUAUCUUGACAAGAAGCACCGGCUAACUAUGUGCCAGCAGCCGCGGUAAUACAUAGGGUGCAAGCGUUAAUCGGAAUUACUGGGCGUAAAGCGUUCGCAGGCUGUUUUACAAGUCAGAUGUGAAAUCCCCGAGCUCACUUGAGGAACUGCGUUUGAAACUGGAAGACUAGAUUGUAUAAGAGGGGGGUAGAAUUGCACGUGUACUGGUGAAAUGCGUACAUUGUGGAGGAAUACAGAUGGAGGAGGCAGACCCCUGGGUUAACAUUGAGCUCAUGAAGAGAGUGAUGGGCAGAAAAAUAAUUAGAU